AAAGGAGCGAUCCGGUGGCGGAUGGGCAUGCGGCGCAUUAGCUAGACGGCGGGGUGACGGCCCACCGUGGCGACGAUGCGUAGGGGUUCUGAGAGGAAGGCCCCCCACACUGGGACUGAGACACGGCCCAGACUCCUACGGGAGGCAGCAGUGAGGAAUAUUGGUCAAUGGGCGGAAGCCUGAACCAGCCAAGUCGCGUGAGGGAUUAAGGCCCUGCGGGUCGUAAACCUCUUUUGCCGGGGAGCAGUGGUCCGGACGCGUCCGGGCCGGGAGAGUACCCGGAGAAAAAGCAUCGGCUAACUCCGUGCCAGCAGCCGCGGUAAUACGGAGGAUGCGAGCGUUAUCCGGAUUUAUUGGGUUUAAAGGGUGCGUAGGCGGGCAUUUAAGCCGGCGGUCAAAUGUCGGGGCUCAACCCCGGCCUGCCGUCGGAACUGGGUGCCUUGAGUGGGCGAGAAGUAUGCGGAAUGCGUGGUGUAGCGGUGAAAUGCAUAGAUAUCACGCAGAACCCCGAUUGCGAAGGCAGCAUACCGGCGCCCUACUGACGCUGAGGCACGAAAGUGCGGGUAUCGAACAGGAUUAGAUACCCUGGUAGUCCGCACAGUAAACGAUGGAUGCUAUCUGUCCGGGCCGAAUGAGGCCUGGGUGGC
rnacentral:rRNA from 1 species